UACGGGGGGAGCAAGCGUUGUUCGGAUUUACUGGGCGUAAAGGGCGCGUAGGCGGCCUUCGCAAGUCGACUGUGAAAUCUCCGGGCUUAACCCGGAAAGGUCAGCCGAAACUGCGGGGCUAGAGUGCAGAAGGGGCAACUGGAAUUCUCGGUGUAGCGGUGAAAUGCGUAGAUAUCGAGAGGAACACCUGCGGCGAAGGCGGGUUGCUGGGCUGACACUGACGCUGAGGCGCGAAAGCUAGGGGAGCGAACGGG
rnacentral:rRNA from 1 species